CCAUUUCUCCUCUAUUUUAUUUGCUAAGAAGGAUCUUUGGCUGAUCCUGAACACUUGGCUGAGGCAAGCAAGAACAGAGCAAACACCGUUCCGAGACGUCUGUGUAGCAGCAGUUUUCAGGCUACUUGGGCGACUUGGUCAACUAGGACUUAAGAAGAACCUGCUAACAUCAUUCGAAAAUCUGGCAAAAAGCAUUAAUCAGUUUGGAAUGCAAAACUUCUCAAAAGGUAUGCCAUGGGAAGUGCAGCUCUCAAUCAUCUAUGCCAUUCAUGAUCUGGCACCCAGCAACCCUGAAGCAGCUCUGAAGACUUUGGAAUCAUGGAGGAAAAACAGCACACAGCGCGUUCCCCCAGCCGUCA